rnacentral:rRNA from 1 species
GACGAACGCUGGCGGCGCGCCUAACACAUGCAAGUCGAGCGAGAACCGGAGCUUCGGCUCCGGGGACAGCGGCGAACGGGUGAGUAACACGUGGAUAACCUGCCCUCGGCACCGGAAUAGCCCGGGGAAACCCGGAUUAAUGCCGGAUAGCCCCACAUCCCUGCGGGGAACGUGGGAAAAGGUAGCUUCGGCCUCUGGCCGAGGAUGGGUCCGCGGUGGAUUAGCUUGUUGGCGGGGUAACGGCCCACCAAGGCGACGAUCCAUAGCUGGUCUGAGAGGACGAUCAGCCACACUGGGACUGAGACACGGCCCAGACUCCUACGGGAGGCAGCAGUGGGGAAUCUUGCGCAAUGGGCGAAAGCCUGACGCAGCGACGCCGCGUGCGGGAAGAAGGCCU